rnacentral:rRNA from 1 species
AGUGAACGCUGGCGGUAGGCCUAACACAUGCAAGUCGAACGGCAGCACAGUAAGAGCUUGCUCUUACGGGUGGCGAGUGGCGGACGGGUGAGGAAUACAUCGGAAUCUACUUUUUCGUGGGGGAUAACGUAGGGAAACUUACGCUAAUACCGCAUACGACCUACGGGUGAAAGCAGGGGAUCUUCGGACCUUGCGCGAUUGAAUGAGCCGAUGUCGGAUUAGCUAGUUGGCGGGGUAAAGGCCCACCAAGGCGACGAUCCGUAGCUGGUCUGAGAGGAUGAUCAGCCACACUGGAACUGAGACACGGUCCAGACUCCUACGGGAGGCAGCAGUGGGGAAUAUUGGACAAUGGGCGCAAGCCCGAUCCAGCCAUACCGCGUGGGUGAAGGAGGCCUUCGGGUUGUAAAGCCCUUUUGUUGGGAAAGAAAAGCAGCAGGUUAAUACCCCGCUGUUCUGACGGUACCCAAAGAAUAAGCACCGGCUAACUUCGUG